UAACAUGCAUUGCUCAUUUAAUCAACCCUCAAAAUAAUCAAUCGUACAAAGAAUGUAAAAAGUAAAGGAUAAACACCAUUGAACAGAACAAUGAUAUCAACUACCUAUCCGUGUUUAAUGGAAUAGAACAAGAAUUGUUGAGUCACCAAAAAGAUCCAGGGGCUGAUUGCAUGGUAAAAAAGAUCUAACCUUGAGCUUCUACCUUUUGGAUGUGAACCAAUAGAUUUUAUGCUUGCCCCCUCUCAAUCUAAGAGAGACAAAAAGUA